UUUGAUCAAGAAUGAAACUAUUUGAAGAUUAAGAUGCCGACAGAUCACGAAGAGCCCUGUGGUUCCAGUCACAAAUCAUUUUGUCUGAAUGGGGGGAUUUGUUAUGUGAUACCGACUAUUCCCAGCCCAUUUUGUAGGUGCAUUGAAAAUUAUACGGGAGCUCGUUGUGAAGAAGUUUUUCUCCCAAGCUCCAGCAUCCAAACUAAAAGUAACCUGUUUGCAGUUUUCGUGGCCUUGGCUGUUCUUCUAGUAACACUUAUCAUUGGCGUCCUCUACUUCUCAUGCAGGAAGGGCCACCUUCAGAGGGCUAGCUCAACCCAGUAUGAUAUCAACAUGGUGGAGACAAUCAGUGCCAAUACCCGCCACAGUCAUGGAGAACACUGAAGAAACGUCAAAGUGAACCAAAUCCUUGCAUUUAUUUUUACAAAGGCAGAAAAUGGAACACCAUAAGGAUUUUCAUUAAGCUAACUCAUACUCAGUUUCUACAAUUGAAAUCAAGUCAGCCAUCUAAAAUCUCAUGAUUUCUUCCCACCAAGAGGAUUUGGAGUCUUCUGUUUCCAUUAAAACUGAAUUUAUGGCACUACAAACCUGGGACUAGACUGUGUGGGUAUAAAAUGACAAAAGCACACCUGUUUUUUUUUUUUUAAUUUCUACAGAUUGCAUAGAAAUUUCUCACAUUGUAAAUGUUUGUUUCUGUUGUAAUUCUUUGCAUGUCCAUUUUGUUAGAUUUGCAAUAUAAAUCAGUGGCAUAUCUUUUGCUAUCUGCCUCCUAGAUUGAGAUGACUCCCAUUUAAGCAAAAUUGAGAACUACAGUGAAGUAGCCUUCUGGAUUCCCCAUUACAUCAAUUUGCAGGGUGUAUCUAUUUCUAGGUCUUAAUUCCAAGGUUUAAUUUCCCUCUUCCUUUUACUUAGCUGGUAAGGACUUUCAUUCUACUUGGAUCAAAUGGGAUGGAAAUAUAUUCCUUGAUGAAGCCUUAUUCAAAGCAAACUGUAUCUAUAGUUUUGCUGUGGAAACAUUCAGGAGAAAUUAUCCUCCUCUGAAAUCAGUAUUUUUAAAAAUGUCUUGGUUAAAUAAGCCAUUCUACCACCUGAUCUUCACUUGAAAGAAGGCAGCUCAGUGUGUAGACUAGGAGUCUCUUUUUGUGCUUACCUUCAUUUUUCAUGUGACUUUUUUUUCAAUUUUACAAAGGACUACAAUAGUUGUCCUCUCUUGGAAUUUAGUUUGUUUUUAGCUGAAACAGUAAUUAUUCCUUUAAUGCUUGCUUCUGUUUAAGAAAAGACUUUCAAAACUGUAAUAGUUAGACAGUUUUAACUUUGAUUAAAUUACUGUUCCCCUUCCCUGCAA